UCGAAUGAUGAGCAACUUUGCGUUAAACCCAGCUCACUCAGAGGCAAAAUAAUUGUCGAUGCUGAGAACGCGCUACAUCUACUCCUGACA
rnacentral:snoRNA from 1 species